CGCUCAACACAAAAGUUUCGUUAAUUCAAUCGAGUUUCGGGAACCAAACUUUAUUCAUCACGAUCCGUAUCACACGGCCUGGAAUCGCAUAUUCCGGAAACGGUGGCGCCACACGCCACCCCCAGUUUUAGUUACCCCACGCCUCCGGUAGGAGCGCCCCAUCAAGAAUAAGCUCGCAACCACAACCAUGGCCGCAGCCAUCACCGCCGCAGCAGCAGCCGCAGCCGCAGCAGCCGCAGCCAAUGC